rnacentral:rRNA from 1 species
AGUGAACGCUGGCGGUAGGCCUAACACAUGCAAGUCGAACGGCAGCACAGUAAGAGCUUGCUCUUACGGGUGGCGAGUGGCGGACGGGUGAGGAAUACAUCGGAAUCUACUUUUUCGUGGGGGAUAACGUAGGGAAACUUACGCUAAUACCGCAUACGACCUACGGGUGAAAGCAGGGGAUCUUCGGACCUUGCGCGAUUGAAUGAGCCGAUGUCGGAUUAGCUAGUUGGCGGGGUAAAGGCCCACCAAGGCGACGAUCCGUAGCUGGUCUGAGAGGAUGAUCGGCCACACUGGAACGGAGACACGGUCCAGACUCCUACGGGAGGCAGCAGUGGGGAAUAUUGGACAAUGGGCGCAAGCCUGAUCCAGCCAUAGCGCGUGGGUGAAGAAGGCCUUCGGGUUGUAAAGCCCUUUUGUUGGGAAAGAAAAGCAGCAGGUUAAUACCCCGCUGUUCUGACGGUACCCAAAGAAUAAGCACCGGCUAACUUCGUG